rnacentral:rRNA from 1 species
GAUGAACGCUGGCGGCGUGCCUAAUACAUGCAAGUCGAGCGAACGGACGAGAAGCUUGCUUCUCUGAUGUUAGCGGCGGACGGGUGAGUAACACGUGGAUAACCUACCUAUAAGACUGGGAUAACUUCGGGAAACCGGAGCUAAUACCGGAUGAUAUUUUGAACCGCAUGGUUCAAAAGUGAAAGACGGUCUUGCUGUCACUUAUAGAUGGAUCCGCGCUGCAUUAGCUAGUUGGUAAGGUAACGGCUUACCGAGGCAACGAUGCAUAGCCGACCUGAGAGGGUGAUCGGCCACACUGGAACUGAGACACGGUCCAGACUCCUACGGGAGGCAGCAGUAGGGAAUCUUCCGCAAUGGGCGAAAGCCUGACGGAGCAACGCCGCGUGAGUGGUGAAGGUCUUCGGAUCGUAAAACUCUGUUAUUAGGGAAGAACAUAUGUGUAAGUAACUGUGCACAUCUUGACGGUACCUAAUCAGAAAGCCACGGCUAACUACGUG